rnacentral:rRNA from 1 species
UGGCGGCGUGCCUAAUACAUGCAAGUCGAACGGUCUUUCUAUGGAAGCUUGCUUCCACUGAGAAGAUAGUGGCGAACGGGGUGAGUAACACGUGGGGUAACCUGCCCAUAAGAGGGGGAUAACAUCCGGAAACGGGUGCUAAUACCGCAUAGUUUUCUUGAUCGCAUGAUCGGGAAAGGAAAGACGGCCUUUGUGCUGUCGCUUAUGGAUGGACCCGCGGCGUAUUAGUUAGUUGGUGAGGUAAUGGCUCACCAAGACGAUGAUACGUAGCCGACCUGAGAGGGUGAUCGGCCACAUUGGGACUGAGACACGGCCCAAACUCCUACGGGAGGCAGCAGUAGGGAAUCUUCCGCAAUGGACGAAAGUCUGACGGAGCAACGCCGCGUGAGUGAAGAAAAGGUUUUCGGAUCGUAAAACUCUGUUGUCAGAGAAGAACAAGUUGGAGAGUAACUGCUCCAGCCUUGACGGUAUCUGACCAGAAAGCCACGGCUAACUACGUGCCAGCAGCCGC